ACUGUUUUGUCAGAUAAGUGCGUUAGAUUUAGAAUCUAUUAAUGUGAAGUUAUUUAUUUUAGAAGUAGUA
rnacentral:tRNA from 1 species